rnacentral:rRNA from 1 species
GACGAACGCUGGCGGCGUGCCUAACACAUGCAAGUCGAGCGAUGAAACCCUUCGGGGUGGAUUAGCGGCGGACGGGUGAGUAACACGUGGGUAACCUGCCUCAAAGAGGGGGAUAGCCUCCCGAAAGGGAGAUUCAUACCGCAUAACAUUAGUUUUUCGCAUGAAGAAUUAAUUAAAGGAGUAAUCCGCUUUGAAAUGGACCCGGGGCGCAUUAGCUAGUUGGUGAGGUAAAGGCUCACCAAGGCGACGAUGCGUAGCCGACCUGAGAGGGUGAUCGGCCACAUUGGAACUGAGACACGGUCCAGACUCGUACGGGAGGCAGCAGUGGGGAAUAUUGCACAAUGGGCGAAAGCCUGAUGCAGCAACGCCGCGUGAGUGAUGAAGGCCUUCGGGUUGUAAAGCUCUGUCUUUUGGGACGAUAAUGACGGUACCAAAGGAGGAAGCCACGGCUAACUACGUGCCAGCAGCCGCGGUAACAC